AAUCCAUGUAUAGGACAUUUCCGCUACAAAUCUUUAAAUAUUUCCCAUGUUUCAUACAAACUUUCAUCUUCCAAUUGUUUGAAUGAAGUUAAAUCAUUUCAAAGCUU